CUCAGCUUGACGGAGCGCGAGUAAACCUCGCUGAGAUUGUACCAACUCAACAGAAUUGCUGAGUUUAAGUCCAAGUACCGUUGAACCUGAUCAGGUUAAUACCUGCGUAGGAAUCAAGCCCACUAAAAAC
rnacentral:ncRNA from 2 species